rnacentral:rRNA from 1 species
UACGAAGGGGGCUAGCGUUGCUCGGAAUCACUGGGCGUAAAGCGCACGUAGGCGGACUCUUAAGUCGGUGGUGAAAUCCUGGAGCUCAACUCCAGAACUGCCUCCGAUACUGGGAGCCUUCGAGUCCGGGAGAGGUGAGUGGAACUGCGAGUGUAGAGGUGAAAUUCGUAGAUAUUCGCAAGAACACCAGUGGCGAAGGCGGCUCACUGGCCCGGUACUGACGCUCAGGUGCGAAAGCCAGGGGAGCGAACGGG